rnacentral:tRNA from 1 species
GCCCUUUUAACUCAGCGAUAGAGUAACGGCAUGGUAAGGUGUAAGUCAUCGGUUCAAGUCCGAUAAAGGGCU